rnacentral:misc_RNA from 1 species
GUCUUGCGCUGACCACAACGACCACACUUGAACUGAUCAGUUGUGGCUUUUGGUGGACCACCUCGCUGACAAUCAAAUAAUGCUUUCUCUUUAAUAUGGUUAUUUUCCAAUUGUCUCUGUUCGCUUGCCAUUUCUUCAGGGGUCAUUGUGAUGAGCCUCUCUGGUUGGACCUGUCCAAGAAGUACUUUUCUCCUCAAAUCAGGGUUAUUUGGAUCCUUCAUGUUGAACAUUAUGGAUCUGUACUUGAACUU